rnacentral:sRNA from 1 species
UUCAAACCACUCAAUUGGGCGCUUAUC